GGAGUUAGCCGGUGCUUCUUCUGUGAGUGAUGUCCUUCCUGCCGGUUAUUGACCCGCAGGCCUUCUUCCUCACUGAAAGUGCUUUACAACCCGAAGGCCUUCUUCACACACGCGGCAUGGCUGGAUCAGGGUUGCCCCCAUUGUCCAAUAUUCCCCACUGCUGCCUCCCGUAGGAGUCUGGGCCGUGUCUCAGUCCCAGUGUGGCUGAUCAUCCUCUCAGACCAGCUACGGAUCGUCGCCUUGGUGAGCCGUUACCUCACCAACCAGCUAAUCCGACAUAGGCUCAUCCGAUAGCGCGAGGCCCGAAGGUCCCCCGCUUUCCCCCGUAGGGCGUAUGCGGUAUUAGCCUGGGUUUCCCCCAGGUUAUCCCCCACUACCGGGCAGAUUCCUAUGCAUUACUCACCCGUCCGCCGCUCGCCACCAGGGAGCAAGCUCCCCGUGCUGCCGCUCGACUUGCAUGUGUUAGGCCUGCCGCCAGCGUUCAAUCUGAACCAGAUCAAAUUCUGA
rnacentral:rRNA from 1 species